rnacentral:rRNA from 1 species
AUUGAACGCUGGCGGCAUGCCUUACACAUGCAAGUCGAGCGGCAGCGCGGGGGCAACCCUGGCGGCGAGCGGCGGACGGGUGAGUAAUACAUCGGAACGUGUCCUUUCGUGGGGGAUAACCAGUCGAAAGACUGGCUAAUACCGCAUGAGAUCGCACGAUGAAAGCGGGGGACCGCAAGGCCUCGCGCGAUUGGAGCGGCCGAUGUCGGAUUAGCUAGUUGGCGGGGUAAAAGCCCACCAAGGCGACGAUCCGUAGCUGGUUUGAGAGAACGACCAGCCACACUGGGACUGAGACACGGCCCAGACUCCUACGGGAGGCAGCAGUGGGGAAUUUUGGACAAUGGGCGCAAGCCUGAUCCAGCCAUGCCGCGUGCGGGAAGAAGGCCUUCGGGUUGUAAACCGCUUUUGUCGGGGAAGAAAUACGCCGGGCUAACAUCCUGGCGGGAUGACGGUACCCGAAGAAUAAGCACCGGCUAACUACGUGCCAGCCGCCGCAGUAA